rnacentral:rRNA from 1 species
UACGGGGGGGGCAAGCGUUGUUCGGAAUUACUGGGCGUAAAGGGCUCGUAGGCGGCCAACUAAGUCAGACGUGAAAUCCCUCGGCUUAACCAGGGAACUGCGUCUGAUACUGGAUGGCUUGAGUUUGGGAGAGGGAUGCGGAAUUCCAGGUGUAGCGGUGAAAUGCGUAGAGAUCAGGAGGAACACCCGUGGCGAAGGCGGCCCUCUGGCUCGACCCUGACGCUGAGGCGCGAAAGCGUGGGGAGCGAACGGG